rnacentral:rRNA from 1 species
UACGUAGGGACCAAGCGUUGUUCGGAUUUACUGGGCGUAAAGGGCGCGUAGGCGGCAAUUCAAGUCAUCUGUGAAAUCUCCGGGCUUAACUCGGAAUGGUCAGGUGAUACUGCUUUGCUAGAGUGCAGAAGGAGCAAUCGGAAUUCUUGGUGUAGCGGUGAAAUGCGUAGAUAUCAAGAGGAACACCUGAGGUGAAGACGGGUUGCUGGGCUGACACUGACGCUGAGGCGCGAAAGCUAGGGGAGCAAACGGG